CAUNGGCUCAACCAAUGUAUGCUUUGGAAACUGUUAGACUUGAGUGCAGAAGGGGAGAGUGGAAUUCCAUGUGUAGCGGUGAAAUGCGUAGAUAUAUGGAGGAACACCGGUGGCGAAAGCGGCUCUCUGGUCUGUCACUGACGCUGAGGCUNGAAAGCGUGGGUAGCGAACAGGAUUAGAUACCCUGGUAGUNCACGCCGUAAACGCUGAGUGCUAGGUGUUAGGUCCUUUCCGGGACUUAGUGCCGACGCUAACGCAUUAAGCACUCCGCCUGGGGAGUACGGCCGCAAGGUUGAAACUCAAAGGAAUUGACGGGGGCCCGCACAAGCGGUGGAGCAUGUGGUUUAAUCCGAAGCAACGCGAAGAACCUUACCAGGUCUUGACAUCCCGAUGCCCGCUCUAGAGAUAGAGUUUUUCUUCGGAACAUCGGAGACAGGUGGUGCAUGGUUGUCGUCAGCUCGUGUCGUGAGAUGCUGGGUUAAGUCCCGCAACGAGCGCAACCCUUAUUGUUAGUUGCCAUCAUUAAGUUGGGCACUCUAGCGAGACUGCCGGUAAUAAACCGGAGGAAGGUGGGGAUGACGUCAAAUCAUCAUGCCCCUUAUGACCUGGGCUACACACGUGCUACAAUGGUUGGUACAACGAGUCGCAAGCCGGUGACGGCAAGCUAAUCUCUGAAAGCCAAUCUCAGUUCGGAUUGUAGGCUGCAACUCGCCUACAUGAAGUCGGAAUCGCUAGUAAUCGCGGAUCAGCACGCCGCGGUGAAUACGUUCCCGGGCCUUGUACACACCGCCCGUCACACCACGAGAGUUUGUAACACCCAAAGUCGGUGAGGUAACCAUUUAUGGGGCCAGCCGCCUAAGGUGGGANGGA
rnacentral:rRNA from 1 species